GUUGGUUGCACCAGAAGUAGGUAGCUUAACCUUCGGGAGGGCGCUUACCACGGUGUGAUCAAUGACUGGGGUGAAGUCGUAACAAGGUAGCCGUAGGUGAACCUGCAGAAGGAUCA
rnacentral:rRNA from 1 species